AGUCGAACGCGAGAGAGGCUUCGGCCUCAAUUGAGUGGCGAACGGGUGAGUAACACGUGGAUGACCUACCUUCGAGUGGGGGAUAACGUCCCGAAAGGGACGCUAAUACCGCAUAACAUCCUGCCUUUGAACAGGCGGUGAUCAAAGCCGGGGAUCGUAAGACCUGGCGCUUGAUGAGGGGCCCGCGUCUGAUUAGCUAGUUGGUGAGGUAACGGCCCACCAAGGCGACGAUCAGUAUCCGGCCUGAGAGGGCGGACGGACACACUGGGACUGAGACACGGCCCAGACUCCUACGGGAGGCAGCAGUGGGGAAUUGUUCGCAAUGGGCGCAAGCCUGACGACGCAACGCCGCGUGGAGGAUGAAGGUCUUCGGAUUGUAAACUCCUGUUGCUCGGGACGAAAAGCUCCGACCUAACACGUCGGAGUCUGACGGUACCGAGUGAGGAAGCCCCGGCUAACUCUGUGCCAGCAGCCGCGGUAAUACAGAGGGGGCAAGCGUUGUUCGGAAUUACUGGGCGUAAAGGGCGCGUAGGCGGCCUUCUAAGUCGAACGUGAAAUCCCCGGGCUCAACCCGGGAACUGCGUCCGAUACUGGAGGGCUUGAAUCCGGGAGAGGGAUGUGGAAUUCCAGGUGUAGCGGUGAAAUGCGUAGAUAUCUGGAGGAACACCGGUGGCGAAGGCGACAUCCUGGACCGGUAUUGACGCUGAGGCGCGAAAGCCAGGGGAGCAAACGGGAUUAGAUACCCCGGUAGUCCUGGCCCUAAACGAUGAAUGCUUGGUGUGGCGGGUAUCGAUCCCUGCCGUGCCGAAGCUAACGCAUUAAGCA
rnacentral:rRNA from 1 species